GAUGAACGCUGGCGGCGUGCCUAAUACAUGCAAGUCGAGCGAACAGAUGAGGAGCUUGCUCCUCUGACGUUAGCGGCGGACGGGUGAGUAACACGUGGAUAACCUACCUAUAAGACUGGGAUAACUUCGGGAAACCGGAGCUAAUACCGGAUAAUAUAUUGAACCGCAUGGUUCAAUAGUGAAAGACGGUUUUGCUGUCACUUAUAGAUGGAUCCGCGCCGCAUUAGCUAGUUGGUAAGGUAACGGCUUACCAAGUCAACGAUGCGUAGCCGACCUGAGAGGGUGAUCGGCCACACUGGAACUGAGACACGGUCCAGACUCCUACGGGAGGCAGCAGUAGGGAAUCUUCCGCAAUGGGCGAAAGCCUGACGGAGCAACGCCGCGUGAGUGAUGAAGGUCUUCGGAUCGUAAAACUCUGUUAUUAGGGAAGAACAAAUGUGUAAGUAACUAUGCACGUCUUGACGGUACCUAAUCAGAAAGCCACGGCUAACUACGUG
rnacentral:rRNA from 1 species